UGCUUUGCGCAGUGGCGGUACCAUAGCCAAUGAGGUUAAUCCGAGGCAUGGUUAUUGCUAGUUAUUGCUAGUUGCUAGUUGAAACUAUAUUAACUUGGUAAGAGUGUUUAUCUUGAUGAUUCCUAUGCCACGUUUGAAACUGGGUCAAGUGGGGUUAAAAACUAGGUCACCCG
rnacentral:snRNA from 1 species